CUGCUGCCUCCCGUAGGAGUCUGGUCCGUGUCUCAGUACCAGUGUGGGGGACCUUCCUCUCAGAACCCCUACGCAUCGUCGGUUAGGCGGGCCGUUACCCCGCCUACUGCCUAAUGCGCCGCAUGCCCAUCCCUGUCCGGCCGAAGCCUUUCCUGCCUCCGGGAUGCCCCGGUGGCAUGUACGCGGGUUUACGCCCGCCUUUCGGCGGGUUGUCCCCCUGACAGGGGCAGGUUGCAUACGUGUUACUCACCCGUGCGCCGGUCGCCGGCGGAGAAG
rnacentral:rRNA from 1 species